AGACUUUCCCCGGCGUUGUUGACCCUGCUGAUGUAGCUGACCUCCUGGAAGCUGACACAACAUCUUUUGAGCUGAUUCAGUUGGUGCCUCCAGAGGGUCAGGUGUUAGCUACGAUGAAGGAGAGCAGCAGAGACUUCCUGUAUCCGGGAGAAGGAGCUUCGGAGAGAGAGACACUGAUGAGGAGAUCCUCCUCCUUUCCUGUAGGCUACUUUCCAUCAAUUCCUUUAUGUAUGUUGUGUAUUUCUUCACCCUGACCUGCACCAAUGUUCUAACUUUCUAACUUGUAAAUAUUACAAGUAACAAAGCUCUAAAGACGCACCAUAGCAGCAGAGGUGGGAAGUAGUGGAGUACAAAUACUGCAUUA